AGCGGAGGAAAAGAAACCAACAGGGAUUGCCUAGAUAACGGCGAGUGAACAGGCAAGAGCUCAGAUUUGAAAGGCACUUUUGUGCCGUUGUAUUCUGAAGUUAGGGUCCUGAGAAACGAUGCUUAAGUCUUCUGGAAAGGAGCGCCAUGGAGGGUGAUAGCCCCGUCUAGCAUUGACCUCAUAUAGGAUCUUAACAUGGAGUCGAGUUGUUUGGGAAUGCAGCUCAAAUGGGUGGUAUGCUCCAUCUAAAGCUAAAUAUCUGCGAGAGACCGAUAGUAAACAAGUACUGUGAGGGAAAGAUGAAAAGAACUUUGAAAAGAGAGUGAAAAAGUACGUGAAAUUGUUGAAAUGGAAGGGUAGGCCGCUAACCAUGUAGAGCCGUGUUUGGGGGGAAGAUAAAUGCUGUAGAAUGUAGCUCCUCGGAGUAUUAUAGAUGCAGUUCAUAUUCCCACCCGAGCGCGAGGAUCUCAGGUUCUACUAAAUGGUGGUCUACCACCCGUCUUGAAC
rnacentral:rRNA from 1 species